UGUUGUGCUGUGAGAACCAGAGCAUCCCUCAAGGAGAAGGCUGGGGUCUGGGAUGUGAUCCAGGAUAAUCCUGAGUAACAGCAGGCACUGGAGAUGGUAUUUAAGGUGAGGAGUUUGGCCAUUUUGAAGCUCUUUUGGAGGCUAAAAUGGAAGGGCA